CAGUAGCCGCGGUAAUACGUAUGUCACGAGCGUUAUCCGGAUUUAUUGGGCGUAAAGCGCGUCUAGGUGGUUAUAUAAGUCUGAUGUGAAAAUGCAGGGCUCAACUCUGUAUUGCGUUGGAAACUGUAUAACUAGAGUACUGGAGAGGUAAGCGGAACUACAAGUGUAGAGGUGAAAUUCGUAGAUAUUUGUAGGAAUGCCGAUGGGGAAGCCAGCUUACUGGACAGAUACUGACGCUGAAGCGCGAAAGCGUGGGUAGCAAACAGGAUUAGAUACCCGUGUAGUCCCUGUCUCUUAUACA
rnacentral:rRNA from 1 species